GAUGAACGCUGGCGGCGUGCCUAAUACAUGCAAGUCGAGCGAACAGACGAGGAGCUUGCUCCUCUGACGUUAGCGGCGGACGGGUGAGUAACACGUGGAUAACCUACCUAUAAGACUGGGAUAACUUCGGGAAACCGGAGCUAAUACCGGAUAAUAUAUUGAACCGCAUGGUUCAAUAGUGAAAGACGGUUUUGCUGUCACUUAUAGAUGGAUCCGCGCCGCAUUAGCUAGUUGGUAAGGUAACGGCUUACCAAGGCAACGAUGCGUAGCCGACCUGAGAGGGUGAUCGCACACACUGGAACUGAGACACGGUCCAGACUCCUACGGGAGGAAGCAGUAGGGAAUCUUCCGCAAUGGGCGAAAGCCUGACGGAGCAACGCCGCGUGAGUGAUGAAGGUCUUCGGAUCGUAAAACUCUGUUAUUAGGGAAGAACAAAUGUGUAAGUAACUAUGAACGUAUUGACGGUACCUAAUCAGAAAGCCACGGCUAACUACGUG
rnacentral:rRNA from 1 species